UACGUAGGGUGCGAGCGUUGUCCGGAAUUACUGGGCGUAAAGGGCUCGUAGGCGGCCAACUAAGUCGGAUGUGAAAUCCCCAGGCUCAACCUGGGAACUGCAUCCGAUACUGGAUGGCUUGAAUCCGGGAGAGGGAUGCAGAAUUCCAGGUGUAGCGGUGAAAUGCGUAGAUAUCUGGAGGAACACCGGUGGCGAAGGCGGCAUCCUGGACCGACACUGACGCUGAGGAGCGAAAGCCAGGGGAGCAAACGGG
rnacentral:rRNA from 1 species